UGAGGAAUAUUGGACAAUGGGCGCAAGCCUGAUCCAGCAAUGCCGCGUGAGUGAAGAAGGCCUUCGGGUUGUAAAGCUCUUUUGUCAGGGAAGAAACGGUGGGAGCUAAUAUCUCCCACUAAUGACGGUACCUGAAGAAUAAGCACCGGCUAACUACGUGCCAGCAGCCGCGGUAAUACGUAGGGUGCAAGCGUUAAUCGGAAUUACUGGGCGUAAAGGGCGCGUAGGCGGCGUGGUAAGUCAUCUGUGAAAUCUCCGAGCUUAACUCGGAACGGUCAGAUGAUACUGCUGUGCUAGAGUACAGAAAGGGCAAUCGGAAUUCUUGGUGUAGCGGUGAAAUGCGUAGAUAUCAAGAGGAACACCUGAGGCGAAGGCGGGUUGCUAGGCUGAUACUGACGCUGAGGCGCGAAAGCUAGGGUAGCAAACGGGAUUAGAUACCCGCGUAGUCCCUGAGCGGGCUGGCAAGGCGCAU
rnacentral:rRNA from 1 species